GGGUGGGUUAACUCUGUCGGUAGAGCUUAGGGCUCGUAACCGAAAGGUUCCGGGUUCAAAUCUCGCCAUUCUCG
rnacentral:tRNA from 1 species